GAUAGCUGGGACUACAGGUGCCCGCCACCACGCCCGGCUAAUUUUUUUGUAUUUUUAGUAGAGACGGGGUUUCGCCAUGUUAGCCAGGAUGGUCUCAAUCUGACCUCGUGAUCCGCCCACCUCGGCCUCCCAAAGUGGUGGGAUUACAGGUGUGAGCCACCUCCCCGGCUGGUGCUACACACUUUUAAAUGACCGGAUCUGUGAACUCAGAGCAAGAGCUCUCCUAUCACCAAAGGAAUGGCUCAAGCCAUUCAUGAAGAUCUGCCCCCACGAUCCAAACACUUCCCACUAGGCCCCAUCUCCAGCACUGAGGAUUCCAUCUCAACAUGACAUCUGAGCUCAUAAGCAGAAGGGACUCACCUUAUCUCAGAUAAGACGCUGGACUUGGACUUUUGUUAAUGCUGGAAUGAGUUAAGCCUUUGGGUUACUGUUGAGAAGGGAUAAUUGUAUUUUAAAAUGUGAGAAGGACAUGAGAUUUGGGAGGGGUCGGGGCAAAAUGAUAUUGUUUGUUUCUGUGUCCCCAACCAAAUCUCAUGUUGAAUUGUAAUCCCCAUGUGUCAGGGCUGGGACCUGGAGGGAGGAGAUCAGAUCAUGGGAGCAGAUUCCCCCAUGCUGCUCUUGUGAUAGUGAGUGAGUUUUCACAAGUUCUGAUGAUUUAAAAAUGUGGCACUUCCCCCGCUCUCUUCUGCUGCCUUGUGAAGAAGGUGCUUGCUUCUCCUUCACCUUCUGUCAUGAUUGUAAGUUUCCUGAGGCCACCCUAGCCAAGCAGAAAUGUGAGUCAAUUAAAUAUAUUUUCGUUAUAAAUUACCCAUUCUCAGAUAGUUCUUUAUAGCAGUGUGAAAACAGACUAAUGCAAUCAUUAUCAAGUAUUCUGUACUGUAUGUAAUUGAAUGUGACAUCACUUUUGUACAACUGGCAAUACAAUAAGCUUGAUUUCACUAACAUCACCACAAAAAUGUGAGUUUUUCAUUGUAUUGUGAUGUUACAAUGUCUACGAUGUCACUAGGCUAUAAGGACAUUUUAGGUCCAUUGAAAUCUUAUGGGGCCACCAUCGUAUAUGUGUUCAAUCACUAAUUGAACGUUUUUAUAUGGCAUAUGACUGUAUAGGUCAAACAUUAUCAAAUUGUAUACCUUAAAUAUGUGUAGUUUAUUGUAUUUCAAUUUUAUCUCAAUAAAACCACUUUAAAAUAUCCAUACUGUAAGGACUCAUCACCCCAUAACAAAACAAUGUUUCAAGAAUUAUGUAGAACAGUUUAUUUUUAAAAACCCACCAUCAUACAGAAAAAAAGAAAUCCAUACAGUAUAAAAAGAGUCUUCUCUCUUGAUCAUACUUAUGGCCAAGUUAUCAUCAGUUGUUUUUAUGGGGUACAUUUUUGUCUAAGUGUGCCACAUAUUAUGCUUACACAAAGAUAUCUGGUUUGUGGGACAACUCAUCUGUCCAUUUAUAGUUCUUAAUAAUCAUCUGCACUGUAACAAAAAGUAAUCCUAGUAAUGCUUAGUACAUUUCUCUUAAUAGUGAACAAAUGUCAACAAAAUUUACAUUCAAGGUAAUAUUGCUCCUUUGUCCUAUGGAAUAUGUACUGAGAAAAAAUAUGGAUUUCCAGCUAUCACCCUAUAUAAAUGAAAAGUUGUAGGCUCAUAAGUUAUUCAAAUUUCAAUUAUUCCCCCAUAAAAUAAAUGACUAGUCAUAAACAAAUUCAAAUAUUUAGCUCAAAUUUUUUGAUUACAUUAAUUUAUAUAAUAAAACACACCAAUUAAAAAUGAUUUUGGACAACAAAACUCGAGAUAGUCUUAAGCUAAAUAACAGAUUACAUUACUUUAUAUACAGCAUCUUCUUAUUUUUGUGAAUUUAUAUAUGUCAAAAUGAUGCACAGAUUAUUAUUCUGUAUCUAAUUAUGUAGUCUAAAUAUUUUAAAAUUUGGCUAAAAUACAGGAAAAAGUGACCAGUUUCUCAUAAAUGUGUUUAAUGUGUACUUCCUAAUAGCCUUGGUUUCUUAUAUUAUCAAAGCUCUUAUACAUCGACAAGUAGAUAAAUGUAGAACCCAGUAUACACUUAUAACAUGACUGCAGAGGGCCUAGAAAGUUGUCUCCUAUACUAAAAAUCAUGAAACAUAAUAAUAACAGCAACAGCAGUGGCAAAAACAUAUUGCUAUCUCCACAUCACCAACCUUCUAUCCACUAUGAAUUGUUCAUGUAACUUGAUUCUAUAGCAUUUACUUCUAUCAACAAGUAAUUAACAAAGAGGAAAAUUUUUCUCAUUUUAAAAUAAAAAUAAUUUUCAGAAGAGUUACAUGUCAUUAAAACAAUUGUAUAAUAUAGUUUAUCCAAUUACACUUAUUGAAACAUUUAGUGGGUACUCACUCUAUGCAUGCCACUAUGCUGGGGCCAGAGAUACGAGGAUAAAUAUGUUGCAUUUUUUGCCCUUAAAGUUAUUAUGAUCUUCUAUAGGAAAUAGAGAAAAAUUGAUCAAUUAUUAUAUACAGCAGCAGUCUCCAACCUUUUUGUCAUCAGGGACCAGUUUGUAGAAGAUAAUUUUUCCAUGGACCAAGGCAUAGAUGGUUUGGGGAUAAAACAGUGCCACCUCAGAUCAUCAGGCAUUAGAUUCUCAUAAGGAGUGUGCAACCUAGAUCCCGCACAUCUGUGGUUCACAAUAGUGUUGUUAGAGCUCCUAUGAGAAUCUAAUGCAGCUACUGAUCUGACAGGAGGCGGAGCUUAGGCGGUAAUGCUGUCUAACCCACUGCUCACCUCCCACUGUGUGGCCCAGUCACCAACUGGUACCAGGGGUUUAGGGACCCCUGAUAUAUGGCGUUUGCAAGUAGUAUAAAAAUACACAUGAUAGCCCUUUACCCAAGAUAGUGUGCUAGUGUGUGUGUGUGUGUGAGUGUGUGUGUGUAUGUGUGUGUGUGUGAGAGAGAGGAUAGAAUUAGAAAUGAGAACAGGUUCAGGGGAGGCCUCUUCAAGAAUAAGUGAGAUUGCUCUUGAAAUAAAUUUUGAAGGAUAACUAAGAGUUGAUGAAGCAAAGGAAGGUAGGCCAGUAUUCACAUGCUAGGAAACAACCCAUUUAGAGGCUCAAGGAAAGCUUGCACAUUCAGGAGCCUGCAAAUUGUUGACUAUGACUAGAAUGUAGAGUGUAAAGAAGAAAGUGGCAGUAGAGAGAAAUAAAGGUGAGAUGCAGAGAAUUAAAAUCAUCAUGACCUUGUAUUGUGUGUUAAAAAGUUAAGACAUCAUCCUGAUCAUAUUUUUUCCCUCUAAUAAUUUUAGCUAAGAGUAGUCAUUACGAAAAAGAAGACUUUUAUGACUUUUAUGGGGAGAAUGAGGACAGCACUAACAUUUAUUGAAGACCUGUUUUGUCUGAUGGUUAGGAAGAGUCUGACUCCAUGUUUUAUAUUUGACUGCACAGCAUUUAGGCUCCUACCCUGCCCUGCCCAAACACUAUAUAUCUGGUACUAUAGACAAAUAAACCUGCAUGCCUUUUGAGAUUUUGGGUCCUGUGGAAAUUUGAACUUCACAGCCCCAGACUGAAUGUGAGAACUCCUCUCCAGCCCCACUCUCUCGCCAUUACAAAAGUCAAACCAACUCUCUGCUCAUUGUUCUUGCCGUUCUAGCCAGAUCAGCUUGCAGUUACCUUGCUCUAUGUACAAUUUCCUGAUGUGAAUAAUAAACUCCUUGCAAAUUAUCAAGGUGUGUGAAGUGUCGUCAGUCUGGAUAUGUGGCCUAUUAACUG
rnacentral:lncRNA from 1 species